AAAGACAUCACAGUGGGAGAGUCCUUAGGUAGAGAGAGAGGAGGUAGACUUGACAUCAUUGUUCCUCUUUGAAAAGGAAGAACGAACAACACAGAGAGAGGAACAUGAAGAGGCCACUGGGAGCUUCCUUCUGGUUCAUCUGGCUCCAGAUGUGUUGGGUGAGAGGGCAGGUGAAGGUGGAUCAGAGUCCUCAAGUCCUGAGCCUCCAGGAGGGAGAGGAUGUCACGCUGAGGUGCAACUUCUCAUCUACUAUGACCACCUUACAAUGGUUCAAACAGAAACCUGAAGAAGGCCUCAUCUUCCUAUUUUUCUUGACUGGAGAGACACAGAAGAAAGGAAAUUUAAGAGCCACGCUCAAUACAAAGGAACGGCAGAGCUCCCUGUAUAUCAGAGCCUCCCAGCCCAGAGACUCGGGCACUUACCUCUGUGCCAUUCAGGCACAGUGCUCCCCAGGCAUCUGUUGUCUGUACAUGAACACUGCACCUGGGGAAUGGGCCACACUCCCCAGGAGUGGUGCAACAGGGUGCAUAGAUCAAGACUCCACAAUAUUUACACAAUCUCGUAACUUUCUUGGUUCAGACUGAUGGUAAUGUAUCCCAGUCCGGGACCCUGGGAUCGGAUGUCUGCCUCUGACUUUCAGCUUAUCUCUAGACUCCUUACUCUAUUUUAAAACUGAAAUGCAGAAACAAGUCUGCUAUGUGGGUACCUGAAAACCGGCAGAACCAUCCAAAUCAGGCUCAGAGACAGGGAUCAGCAAUGGAGAGAGAAUAAUGGGAACUUUCAUGUCUUUUGUAACCCUGAAUUUAGGCCUUGUGCAUUUACAAAAGAUUCUCCUUGUUGGUGGAGGGAAUAAUUACUCAACUAGUAACUGCAAGA